rnacentral:rRNA from 1 species
UACGAAGGGGGGCUAGCGUUGCUCGGAAUUACUGGGCGUAAAGGGCGCGUAGGCGGAUAUUUAAGUCGGGGGGUGAAAGCCCGGGGCUCAACCUCGGAAUUGCCUUCGAUACUGGAUAUCUUGAGUUCGGGAGAGGUGAGUGGAAUGCCGAGUGUAGAGGUGAAAUUCGUAGAUAUUCGGCGGAACACCAGUGGCGAAGGCGACUCACUGGCCCGAUACUGACGCUGAGAAGCGAAAGCAUGGGGGAGCGAACAGG